GACGAACGCUGGCGGCGUGCCUAAUACAUGCAAGUAGAACGCUGAAGAGAAGAGCUUGCUCUUCUUGGAUGAGUUGCGAACGGGUGAGUAACGCGUAGGUAACCUGCCUGGUAGCGGGGGAUAACUAUUGGAAACGAUAGCUAAUACCGCAUAAAAUUGAUUAUUGCAUGAUAAUUAAUUGAAAGAUGCAAUUGCAUCACUACCAGAUGGACCUGCGUUGUAUUAGCUAGUUGGUGAGGUAACGGCUCACCAAGGCGACGAUACAUAGCCGACCUGAGGGGGUGAUCGGCCACACUGGGACUGAGACACGGCCCAGACUCCUACGGGAGGCAGCAGUAGGGAAUCUUCGGCAAUGGGGGGAACCCUGACCGAGCAACGCCGCGUGAGUGAAGAAGGUUUUCGGAUCGUAAAGCUCUGUUGUAAGAGAAGAACGGGUGUGAGAGUGGAAAGUUCACACUGUGACGGUAUCUUACCAGAAAGGGACGGCUAACUACGUGCCAGCAGCCGCGGUAAUACGUAGGUCCCGAGCGUUGUCCGGAUUUAUUGGGCGUAAAGCGAGCGCAGGCGGUUAGAUAAGUCUGAAGUUAAAGGCUGUGGCUUAACCAUAGUAUGCCUUGGAAACUGUUUAACUUGAGUGCAGAAGGGGAGGGUGGAAUUCCAUGUGUAGCGGUGAAAUGCGUAGAUAUAUGGAGGAACACCGGUGGCGAAAGCGGCUCUCUGGCUUGUAACUGACGCUGAGGCUCGAAAGCGUGGGGAGCGAACAGGAUUAGAUACCCUGGUAGUCCACGCCGUAAACGAUGAGUGCUAGGUGUUGGGUCCUUUCCGGGACUCAGUGCCGCAGCUAACGCAUUAAGCACUCCGCCUGGGGAGUACGACCGCAAGGUUGAAACUCAAAGGAAUUGACGGGGGCCCGCACAAGCGGUGGAGCAUGUGGUUUAAUUCGAAGCAACGCGAAGAACCUUACCAGGUCUUGACAUCCCUCUGACCGCUCUAGAGAUAGAGCUUUCCUUCGGGACAGAGGUGACAGGUGGUGCAUGGUUGUCGUCAGCUCGUGUCGUGAGAUGUUGGGUUAAGUCCCGCAACGAGCGCAACCCCUAUUGUUAGUUGCCAUCAUUCAGUUGGGCACUCUAGCGAGACUGCCGGUAAUAAACCGGAGGAAGGUGGGGAUGACGUCAAAUCAUCAUGCCCCUUAUGACCUGGGCUACACACGUGCUACAAUGGCUGGUACAACGAGUCGCAAGUCGGUGACGGCAAGCUAAUCUCUUAAAGCCAGUCUCAGUUCGGAUUGUAGGCUGCAACUCGCCUACAUGAAGUCGGAAUCGCUAGUAAUCGCGGAUCAGCACGCCGCGGUGAAUACGUUCCCGGGCCU
rnacentral:rRNA from 1 species